GCACCAGUGGUCCAGUGGUAAGAUAGUACCCUGCCACGGAACAGUCUCAGGUUCGAUACCCGGCUGGUGCA
rfam:Capsella rubella cultivar Monte Gargano unplaced genomic scaffold scaffold_8, whole genome shotgun sequence.